GAUGAACGCUGGCGGCGUGCCUAAUACAUGCAAGUCGAGCGAACAGACGAGGAGCUUGCUCCUCUGACGUUAGCGGCGGACGGGUGAGUAACACGUGGAUAACCUACCUAUAAGACUGGGAUAACUUCGGGAAACCGGAGCUAAUACCGGAUAAUAUGUUGAACCGCAUGGUUCAAUAGUGAAAGACGGUUUUGCUGUCACUUAUAGAUGGAUCCGCGCCGCAUUAGCUAGUUGGUAAGGUAACGGCUUACCAAGGCAACGAUGCGUAGCCGACCUGAGAGGGUGAUCGGCCACACUGGAACUGAGACACGGUCCAGACUCCUACGGGAGGCAGCAGUAGGGAAUCUUCCGCAAUGGGCGAAAGCUUGACGGAGCAACGCCGCGUGAGUGAUGAAGGUCUUCGGAUCGUAAAACUCUGUUAUUAGGGAAGAACAAAUAUGUAAGUAACUAUGCACGUCUUGACGGUACCUAAUCAGAAAGCCACGGCUAACUACGUG
rnacentral:rRNA from 1 species